ACAGUAUUUUUCUUUUACUGUAAAUCCAAAUACAAAAAAAAAAAAAGAGCGCGAAAUCUGACCAAUGACAGAAAGGCUUUCUUUCCUCUGGGAGAGAAGAAAAGGAAGACGCACACACAAGAACCUCGCAGCUGCCAUCAAACGAAGUUUUACCGUCAAAGUGUGAACAUAAACAGGUCUCUGUCUUGGUUUUGACCACGUUGCUAGCAGAUGCAGCGCGGAAGGCUGUACAUUCGUGUCGACUAAAUUCUUCAGCAUUUGUGAACACUGGACACCUAAGAUGGCACAUUCGAGAUGAAGCAGAGGAUUUGCUGUUCCUUUUGGCCAGUGUCACAACAACAGCAGCAGAUGCAAAGACCAGGCUUUCACUUCCUUCUACUCUGAUCAU